GACGAACGCUGGCGGCGUGCUUAACACAUGCAAGUCGAACGAAAAGGCCCUGCUUUUGUGGGGUGCUCGAGUGGCGAACGGGUGAGUAACACGUGAGUAACCUGCCCUUGACUUUGGGAUAACUUCAGGAAACUGGGGCUAAUACCGGAUAGGAGCUCCUGCUGCAUGGUGGUGGUUGGAGAGUUUCGGCGGUUGGGGAUGGACUCGCUGGUUAUCAGCUUGUUGGUCUGGUAGUGGCUGACAAGGGCUUUGACGGGUAGCCGGCCUGAGAGGGUGACCGGCCACAUUGGGACUGCGAUACGGCGCAGACGGCAACGGGAGGCAGCAGUGGGGAAUAUGGCACAGUGGGGGGACGUCUGAUGCAGAAACGCCGCGUGCGGGAUGACGGCCUUCGGGUUGUAAACCGCUUUCGCCGGUGACGAAGCGUGAGUGACGGUAAUGGGUAAAGAAGCACCGGCUAACUACGUG
rnacentral:rRNA from 1 species